CUGAGAAGCAGAGGAAGAGGAAGGUUGUAGAUGGUUUCUGGCAGAAAAUGAUGUCCAAUAAAAAAGCCCCAGACAGGAAGAGAGAAAAAGAGAGGAAUGGAAAGAAAGACAACAUCCCUCUUCCUCCUACCACUCCUCCUCUUCCUCCGACCACUCCUCCUCCUCCUCGUUCUCCUCUUCCUCCCGUUCUCUCUCCUCAAGUACUGAAGGUCGAGGCGUCUGCCGUAC